CUGAGAAGUUAUACUUUAGUGUAUAAACCCACAUGGGUAACACUUAAUAAACCAAGUGUCGUAUAAAUAAAAUGAAGCUAGUCUGACAGGUCUGGGUGUAUCCAAUAACACCAGAGGCUAUAUUUCCUGGAUUUGUACAAACUCCAAGGUGAUAUGAUGCUUCAAAACAGGAUUGGUGAAAAAUGAUAGCCUCAGUUGUUCUACAACUGCACAGCUUAUGAUCCUUGGACAGCUUUAAAAGAACACACAGUCACCAUAAAAACAUCUUAACUAAAUUGUUAUGGUGCUUAGAGGUUUUAGGCAGGUCAUACAAUAAUGGGUUAAACCACUUAGGAAUGGUUUACCCCCAAAGGCCAUUAGACUGCCCCUCUAGUAUAGGAGUCAAAAU